rnacentral:lncRNA from 1 species
ACAGUAACUCUGUAUUCCAUGAAGAUAGGAAUGGUGACUGUAAUGAAGUAUCCAAUAAUAGAGGACAAUUAAUGCUUACGAAACAAAUACAUGAAUCAAUGAGUAGAUGGAAGCUUCUGUAAGCAUCUACAACAUCAGGAAGUGAUGAGGUUUCUUCCUUGAAGUCCUUUUCCUACGUAUCUCUCCCUCUACUUAAAGACUUAGUGUGAAUGUCAAUUACUCAAGCCUGAAUUAAAAGAGUUGACACAGGACAGGAAAACUCCAGUCAUCCUCAAGGGAAAAGAGGUCCUGAAAAGAGGAAACAAGGAGAGACCUCACGGAGUCAAAACAGGUGUUCACAGGCAUUGAAUACGGAAAAUGACUCAAGCUGCUUAGGAUGAGACGCAUGGUCAGAAUGGUUCAGCACAAGGGAUAUAUAACACCCUGAGGAUUAAAACAAAGGUAGUGUCUAGAAUGUUGCUGAAUAUGACAAAGAACUUUUAGAUUAGAACUCCAGGAAUGAAGAAGAUGAAGAAAAACAGACCUCAUGAUUAUCAGCUAAGGCCACUCCUAGCUCAAUCAUGUGUAGUCAGUGACUAUACAUACCAUCAGUAAAAUAAAUAAAUAUUAUAUCUAUUUAAUUGUUCUAUA